rnacentral:tRNA from 1 species
AAAUUUGUAGUUUAAAUAAAAUAUUCCGUUUACACCGGCAAGAUAGAUAGAUUGUCUCAAAUUUA